rnacentral:rRNA from 1 species
AGACUGGGAUAACUACCGGAAACGGUAGCUAAUACCGGAUAAUUUAUUUUGCAGCAUUGUGAAAUAAUGAAAGACGGAGCAAUCUGUCACUUGGGGAUGGGCCUGCGGCGCAUUAGCUAGUUGGUGGGGUAAUGGCUCACCAAGGCGACGAUGCGUAGCCGACCUGAGAGGGUGAACGGCCACACUGGGACUGAGACACGGCCCAGACUCCUACGGGAGGCAGCAGUAGGGAAUCUUCCGCAAUGGGCGAAAGCCUGACGGAGCAACGCCGCGUGAGUGAUGAAGGUUUUCGGAUCGUAAAGCUCUGUUGCCAAGGAAGAACGUCUCAUAGAGUAACUGCUAUGAGAGUGACGGUACUUGAGAAGAAAGCCCCGGCUAACUACGUGCCAGCAGCCGCGGUAAUACGUAGGGGGCAAGCGUUGUCCGGAAUUAUUGGGCGUAAAGCGCGCGCAGGCGGUUCUUUAAGUCUGGUGUUUAAACCUGGGGCUCAACUUCAGGUCGCACUGGAAACUGGGGAACUUGAGUGCAGAAGAGGAGAGUGGAAUUCCACGUGUAGCGGUGAAAUGCGUAGAUAUGUGGAGGAAC